GUCUGCGUGGCCUAAUGGAUAAGGCCUCUAACUUCGAAUCAGAAGAUUGCAGGUUCGAAUCCCGUCGCGGACG
rnacentral:tRNA from 1 species